rnacentral:rRNA from 1 species
AUUGAACGCUGGCGGCAGGCCCAACACAUGCAAGUCGAGCGAGCGGCGGACGGGUGAGUAAUGUCUGGGAAACUGCCGGAUGGCGGGGGAUAACUACUGGAAACGGUAGCUAAUACCGCAUACCAUCAGAUGUGCCCAGAUGGGAUUAGCUAGUAGGUGGGGUAACGGCUCACCUAGGCGACGAUCCCUAGCCGGUCUGAAAGGAUGACCAGCCACACUGGAACUGAGACACGGUCCAGACUCCUACGGGAGGCAGCAGUGGGGAAUAUUGCACAAUGGGCGCAAGUCUGACGCAGCCAUGCCGCGUGUGUGAAGAAGGUCUUCGGGUCGUAAAGCACUUUUAGUGGGGAGGCGUUACCUGCACAAGAAGCCCCGGCUAACUCCGUGCCAGCAGCCGCGGUAAUUC